rnacentral:rRNA from 1 species
CAGUCUCAGUUCGGNUUGAAGGCUGAAAUUGCCUUCAUGAAGCCGGAAUUGCUAGUAAUGGCAGGUCAGCAUACUGCCGUGAAUACGUUCCCGGGCCUUGUACACACCGCCCGUCACACCAUGAGAGUUGGGGAUACCCGAAGCCUGUGAGCUAACUUUUAGAGGCAGCAGUCGAAGGUAGAAUCAAUGAUUGGGGUGAAGUCGUAACAAGGUACC